AACGAACGCUGGCGGCGUGUUUAAGACAUGCAAGUCGCACGGGAUCAUUUUGGUAGCAAUACUCGGAUGGUCCAGUGGCGCACGGGUGAGUAACACGUGAAUGACAUGCCCUUCAGUGGGGGAUAGCCCAGGGAAACUUGGAUUAAUACCCCAUGGUCUCGCGAGAGUAAAGGUGGCGCAAGCUGCCGCUGGAGGAUUGGUUCGCGGUCUAUCAGCUUGUUGGCGGGGUAACGGCCCACCAAGGUUACGACGGGUACCUGGUCUGAGAGGACGAUCAGGCACCCUGGAACUGGGAGACGGUCCCGACACCUACGGGUGGCAGCGGUCGAGCAUAAUUCACUAUGGGGGCAACCCUGAUGGUGCAACGCCGCGUGGAGGAGGAAGGUCUUCGGAUUGUAAACUCCUGUCAUCCGGGAGCAAGACCUGACGGUGAAUAGCCGGCAGGGUUGAUAGUACCGGAAGAGGAAGGGACGGCUAACUUCGUGCCAGCCGCCGCGGUAACAC
rnacentral:rRNA from 1 species